UACGUAGGGUGCAAGCGUUAAUCGGAAUUACUGGGCGUAAAGCGUGCGCAGGCGGUUGUGUAAGACAGAUGUGAAAUCCCCGGGCUCAACCUGGGAACUGCAUUUGUGACUGCACAGCUGGGAGUGGCGGCAGAGGGGGAUGGAAUUCCGCGUGUAGCAGUGAAAUGCGUAGAGAUGUGGAGGAACACCGAUGGCGAAGGCAGCCCCCUGGGUCAAGAUUGACGCUCAUGCACGAAAGCGUGGGGAGCAAACAGG
rnacentral:rRNA from 1 species